rnacentral:rRNA from 1 species
UGGGGAAUAUUGGGCAAUGGGGGAAACCCUGACCCAGCAACGCCGCGUGAAGGAAGAAGGCCUUCGGGUUGUAAACUUCUUUUAUCCAGGGAGCGAAGGACGUGACGGUACCUGGAGAAAAAGCAACGGCUAACUACGUGCCAGCAGCCGCGGUAAUACGUAGGUUGCGAGCGUUGUCCGGAUUUACUGGGUGUAAAGGGCGUGUAGGCGGAGAAGCAAGUUGGGAGUGAAAUCUAUGGGCUCAACCCAUAAACUGCUCUCAAAACUGUUUCCCUUGAGUAUCGGAGAGGCAAGCGGAAUUCCUAGUGUAGCGGUGAAAUGCGUAGAUAUUAGGAGGAACACCAGUGGCGAAGGCGGCUUGCUGGACGACAACUGACGCUGAGGCGCGAAAGCGUGGGGAGCAAACAGGAUUAGAUACCC